CUUAUCCAAACUCAGAUGCUUGAAAAACAUGUGUAUAUCAGAGCUAGUUGCCUACAACCUCACUAGAGACAACAAAGAGGAGGCAGAAUUAUUCAGAAUAAUUCCUUUUGCGUUAAAUGAAGCAUCUAAGAUGGGAAAGUAAAAGAAGAGCAAACUACAGUAAAGCAUGUUAUGCACCAACAAGAACAAGGAGACGUGACCACAUGGUGUACCUCAGAGGAGGCUGUCAGGAGAACUACAGUUGAGCUCACAAACGCUGGGCUUAUAAAAAACCAAUGCUGGCAGAUGGUGUGGAGCACAUAGUUCUGUUAUUAAGAGCUAAGGAAGUUUAAAGAGGCAUGAAGAGAGCCCAAGUUCUGUGGGGUGAGAACUGCAGUGGGCGAGCUCAUGCACGUUAAGCACCUUGGAAAUGCUGAAGUUUAAAAUGGAAAGCCCACAUUGACAUUUUUGAGUGUCACACCUUCACUGACAGGAAUGACUGACUGACUGACUGACUGACUGUCUGACUGUCUGUCUGUCUGAAUGACUGACUGACUGACGGUCUGACUGACUGACUGUCUGACUGAACAAAUGGUCCUUAUCCAUGUGAGCAUUUGUGGUGAUGGGUUACUGGUGUUACUGGUGCAGUGGUACAUGAUUUAAUGCACAAACUUUAAAUACAAAAAUAUCAGACUCAUCUAACUACUUUCCCUGAGGAAUAGACAGAAACCCCCCUACAAUGCAGUCUGUAAACAGCCUGAGAUCUGUUAAAGACUGUAGUCAUUCAUAGGAAACUCCUGUCUCCAGCAGGCACUGGAAAUACCAUUAAGUCCUAGGAAAAAUUAUACUAUUGGCCAUUUUAAGGGGGGCAUUAGCAGAAGGAAAGAUGCACAGGAAAAUAUCUGUCUGUAUUUUUUCUGAUGAGGUUGAGUAGAUGAUAAAUGUAAUUUUCCCUACUUAUUUUUCUCUUAACUACCCGUAAAUUCUUACACCCAGGUGUGUAAACCUCUCAGCCACAACCUACAAUUGCAAUCUUUGCAUUGCACUUAAAAGGACAAAAAAUAAAUUGUUUGAGAUAGCUGGUUAUUUGAUUUUUUUGAAUAUUUUCUUAAUUAUUAGUGAGUGGAUAAAACAUUCUGAGUGUUGUUUGCUCUACUGUUCUGGCUUUCCUCAGUUUCAAAUUUCAAGAUUCUGUCAUAAGCUUUGUGCUUUCCUAGGAAAAAAUGAAUUUAUUUUUUUCAAAUGUUCCAAAUAAAUCAAUAGACCACUUUCAGGUAGCAGGAAAUACAACAAAAAGGAAAAAAAAAAAAAGGGAAGGGGAUAUGGAAUAAUUUUUACUUUAACAACAAAAAGUCUUACUCUACAAUACUACUAAAUCAACCUCCAUCCAAAAUAUCCUGAAUAACAGCAGAAACAACAACAAACAUUUUCUGUAGAGAACUCUGAUUAGAAUGCAUAUUAUUUCCUCUCUUGAUUAAUUGAACUGGCAUUUUGAUUACCUUUAAUUGUACACAUCAAAUAAGCUAGUACUGUGCAGUGAUACACCAAUGCACAUAGAGGACUUUUUAAUUUAAUGUAAACAAUUACAUCCUAAAUCACAAAAAGCAUUGAAACCCUCCAUUGAAACAUUCCCUUCAUAAGUUUAGAGAAUUGUGGUUCUGAUUAAGGUCAUGGAAGCACCCUUCCAAAACAACAUCCAAGGUUUUUGACUGUACUGCAAGACAGACUCCUUGGAGCUCUAUUUAUAGAUUCUGACUUUGCUACAAAACAACAUUUCUCCUCAAAAAAAGCAGAAUUGUUAUCUUCUUCAAGGGGCUUUACAAUCUGGAAUGAGUAGUUAUAUUAAAAAUAAUGAUAAUGAAGAGCAUCAUGCAAGUCUGUAUUGGAUCUUUCAGUUUUACAGGCAUUGGAAAUAAGAUCAGUCAUUGACUUGGAAAAGUGAGAAAUCAUUUAAACAUGAGGGGUGUUUUGCAGUAAACAAUUAUGGGUUUAUAUGUAUUGGUUAUUUUUAUUUUUUUCUAUGUAGGAUCAGCCAGCAUAAACACAUGUGCUAAGUUUAAAAAGCGCAAGCAGAUAUGACUUUGAAAAACACGUUUUAGUUCAGUUUUGUCAAAUUUGGUCAUUCCUUAGCACGGUGUUACAAAUAUUCUAGUUUCUACUAAAAUGCUGCACAAGGUAAAAAUACAUUUCUCAUCUAGACCACAUAAGUAUUUUACAUAUAGGUAUUUCUCUAAUUGAAAUGAAAAACUGAAGAUGGACACUGAGGGAUGAAGAACAUGAAGAUGAAGCAUGAGAAAGAUAAGGAAGUUUAAGGACUCAAAUAAAUUAGAGGAGAGAAAGUCAAGAUAAAUCAGUUAUAUUGUGCAACAUUCUGAAAGCCCUUCCAGCACAUGUAAAAAAGAGCUGUCUGUAGUGCAUUUAAACUCAAGGAAGGAAAACCUCUAAUAUAUUGCAAGUGACUCAAAAAGAAAUGUUACUUUGUAAUAAAUAAAUAAAUAAAUAAAUAAAUUUUUUAAAAUUUUGUGCUGUCUUAAGCAGAAGUGGAAAAAAAAAGUUCCCUGUUACAAAGUAAGUCAGGUUUUUAAACAACAGGGGGAAAAAAGGGAUAAAGGAAUACAGAAUAGCACUCACAGCUAACAACAAAUAUAGUUUUUAAAAGACUCAUUAAUGAGCAGAUACAUGGUGCAUUGAUAAAAUUAACCUAGUCAGAUGAACUUGGUGUGCCUUUCUGGACUGAGAAGGAGAUGUGUCCAUAUCUAGUGAGAAGUGGUGCAAAAAAGAAAGAGGCAGAAGGAAGGAGACAGCGCCUAAGAGGAAUUCAGUAAUGUUGCCUGCACGUGUAGGAAGGUACCAGAAAUGCCAGAGCUCAGCUGGACUGGAGACUUCAUAGGUACACAAAAAGAAGAGCCUGUGCAUUACUAGUAAAAGACUGAAUAAGGAAUGUGUUGAACUGUUGCUGAAUGAGAAUGAUGAUUCAGUGCCAAGGGUGACAGAUAAGACUAAGGAACUCAGUGUCACCUUUCCCUCAGUCUUCAACUACUGAAGAGGACUUCAUUUUUUUAUAUCCAUGGGAACCAAGAUUUUAUUUGUAUAUUCAUGAGUAAAAUUACAGUUCUGAAUUUCUUGUGAUGAUAGGAAACUCUUUCCCAAAGUGUUAACACCCUCCACCCCCUAAUAAUCACAUUUCAUGAUGUAUUUUACUAUAAUUCUUUUACUCCAAAUUUCUGUCUGAACAGUUAUUUGCAUUUGUGAUGCAUACAGCUAAAAGCUGCUUGGAAAAUUUAAUCAGGAUAUUUGAGUUCCCUAUCAGCUCCUUGUCUGUGCCACAGGAAAUUAGUGAAUUUGUCGUCAUAUUUUUGAUUGGCAAAAUCAUUUCUAUCUGAAGCUGUCAGCCAUCAACCAGGGAUGUCAGAACAAGAGGUUGUGAGCACAUCCAGGGCUGAUUUGGGCAGUGCCUUGUCCCAGGAGCAGAUGAAGAGCCCCAGUGAGGAAACCACAGGGCUCAUGAAAGUCAGUGAGGAAGCACUUUCCCAGUGGAUGGACAUUUCAUUAACACCUCCAUUUGAAGGGCAAAAUGACAUCCUGCCUACAGUAUGCUGAGGUCUUGACCCUCCUCAAGAAACCAUCUAAUUACUACCCUCUGUCAAACCUCCCUUUUUGGAGAACAUGAUUAAGGACACAGUUGCUAAGCAACUUCAGGAGCACCUGGACGAAGGGGGAUUUUUAGCCUUCUUCCAGUCUUCGAGUAAUCAUUUCCAGACAAGUUUUCGUAACAGUCUUAGCUUCAUAUUUCCUAAUACUGCUCUUGGGACCCUAAUGAAAUAUUGUUUUAUAUCAACUCUGUUAAUGUUUUUCACAUAUAUUUCAGUUAUUGAUGAUUCAGGUCAUCUCAUGUUGAGUAACAGAAGGAACAUGUUAUUACCAGAAUUUUAUAAAGAACAUAUGCAUUUAAAAUCAAAUACCAUUUACUUAUAUUCAUGAGAAGCAAAGCUCACCUUGAAGAACAGAUAAUGAUUUUAUUCAUAUUCAUCUCCAUGUUUCUUCUUAAAUCCCACAUAUCAAAUAUGCAAAUCCCCUAGCUUCUGUCAAAGAAAAAGAAAAACUGAAAUUGUAUCACCAUCAGGACUUCAAAUAAUGAAGCCAUGAAUAAAAAGAUCUGUGAUAAAUGAGUUUCUAAUAACAACGGGGUUUCUAAUAACAGCAGGAAUCAGAUUAUGGGAACAUAAAGGGGAAGUUUCAUGUAUGAAUGAAAGACUGCAACCUUAAUGUUUCUUUAUCGCUUAAAAUGAGGAAUGAUGCAGACUGUAGCAGUCAGAAGUUCUUCUGUGGACCUGCCAAGCCUCCUGCUUUCACAGAUCCUGCGGCUCAGCUGUGAAACUGUGGCUAAGAAAUUAAUCAAGUGCCACAAAAAUCAAUCAAACAAACAAGCAGUCUGGUAAAGAAGCUUUCCUCGAAAAACCUGUUCAAGCUGGAAACACUCUGAAAUAUGGAAUAUCUAGGUUUGUCUAGACAAUUUGUUUAUAAAGAAAUUCUACCUGAUGUGAAAUAAAUUAACAUUUUUCAUUAUAUAAUUAACUGAAUAAAAUAUAUAAAAAAGCUUUUUCUUGCAAAAGGACUAUGUUUCUA